AACGAACGCUGGCGGCAGGCUUAACACAUGCAAGUCGAACGGGUGUAGCAAUACAUCAGUGGCAGACGGGUGAGUAACACGUGGGAACCUUCCUCGUAGUACGGAACAACUCAGGGAAACUUGUGCUAAUACCGUAUACGUCCGAGAGGAGAAAGAUUUAUCGCUAUGAGACGGGCCCGCGUCGGAUUAGGUAGUUGGUGGGGUAACGGCCUACCAAGCCUACGAUCCGUAGCUGAUCUGAGAGGAUGAUCAGCCACACUGGGGACUGAGACACGGCCCAGACUCCUACGGGAGGCAGCAGUGGGGAAUCUUGGACAAUGGGCGCAAGCCUGAUCCAGCCAUGCCGCGUGAGUGAAGAAGGCCUUAGGGUUGUAAAGCUCUUUUGGCAGGGACGAUAAUGACGGUACCUGCAGAAUAAGCCCGGCAAACUUCGUG
rnacentral:rRNA from 1 species